UACAGAGGGGGCAAGCGUUAUUCGGAAUUAUUGGGCGUAAAGGGCGCGUAGGCGGCUUCGCAAGUGGAAGGUGAAAUCCCUCGGCUUAACCGGGGAACUGCGUCUGAUACUGGAUGGCUUGAGUUUGGGAGAGGGAUGCGGAAUUCCAGGUGUAGCGGUGAAAUGCGUAGAUAUCUGGAGGAACACCGGUGGCGAAGGCGGCAUCCUGGACCAACACUGACACUGAGGAGCGAAAGCCAGGGGAGCAAACGGG
rnacentral:rRNA from 1 species